rnacentral:rRNA from 1 species
CCUACGGGUGGGCAGCAGUGGGGAAUAUUGCCCAUUGGGGGAAACCCUGAUGCAGCGACGCCGCGUGAGCGAUGAAGUAUUUCGGUAUGUAAAGCUCUAUCAGCAGGGCAGAAGAUGACGGUACCUGACUAAGAAGCCCCGGCUACCUACGUGCCAGCAGCCGCGGUAAUACGUAGGGGGCAAGCGUUAUCCGGAUUUACUGGGUGUAAAGGGAGCGUAGACGGCGAUGCAAGCCAGAUGUGAAAGCCCGGGGCUCAACCCCGGGACUGCAUUUGGAACUGUGUGGCUGGAGUGUCGGAGAGGCGGGCGGAAUUCCUAGUGUAGCGGUGAAAUGCGUAGAGAUUAGGAGGAACACCAGUGGCGAAGGCGGCCUGCUGGACGAUGACUGACGUUGAGGCUCGAAAGCGUGGGGAGCAAACAGGAUUAGAUACCCGAGUAGUC